AUACCCGGAGCUAUUGUUAACGUAAUGUUUGUCAGUGAGGUUUCUCCUCGUCAGAGCUAGUAACGAAUUGCUGUGUGUAGUCUUUGCCCAUCCCCUGAGGUGGGCUUUUUUU
rnacentral:sRNA from 1 species